rnacentral:rRNA from 1 species
CGCGUAGGCGGUGGAACAAGUCACAUGUGAAAUACCAGGGCUCAACUCUGGGGGGUCAUGUGAAACUGUUUUACUUGAGUGCAGUAGAGGGAAGCGGAAUUCCUGGUGUAGCGGUAAAAUGCGUAGGGAUCAGGAGGAACACCGGUGGCGAAGGCGGCUUUCUGGGCUGUAACUGACGCUGAGGCGCGAAAGCGUGGGGAGCAAACAGGAUUAGAUACCCUGGUAGUCCACGCGGUAAACGAUGAUUACUAGGUGUAGAGGACGCAGGUCUUCUGUGCCGGAGCAAACGCAAUAAGUAAUCCGCCUGGGGAGUACGGCCGCAAGGUUGAA